CACGCUACGUGUGAAUCAUCGAAUCUUUGAACGCAUCUUGCACUUUUCAGGUCUCCUGAAAAGUAUACUUGUUUGAGUAUCAUAAACAUUAACUCUAGGCAACAACAGAGCAACUUGCUUGCUUGUGUCUGUCUGUCUGGGAAUUGAGACGUCGAACUUCCAUUCGUGUCUUUUAAUGGAUAUGAUUAGUGAUUUCCCUUGCAAAAGGGAGAGCCCUUAAAUCAAAUGUGAGAUAAACAUUUCAUAAAGAGAUUUCUGGGUCAAGCUAAACUACGCCUGGAACUGCUGCUCGCAGCGGUUCACCCUUGAACAUUGAUCUCAAAUCAAGUAAGACUACCCGCUGAACUUAAGCAUAUCAAUAAGCGGAGG
rnacentral:rRNA from 1 species